rnacentral:misc_RNA from 1 species
UUUUAUUUUUAUAAUUUUUAUCAAUUAUUUUUCUUCCUAUAGUCCAAUAUUCUUGUCAAUUACUACACUCCAAAUCUGACAUAAUAUAUAGUCCAAAUUGAUAUCAUACCGCAACACCUGCAACAUACUUUCUUUUUUUUCAGUAGCUUCUAUGCAUAGUAAUACAAAUGGAUCUCUUGGCAAGAUGCAUCAUGCCACCAAGAAUCGAAGUCCUUUUCUGGUUACAUACAGAAUGACAUUUGCAGGAAGUGUAGUAUUAUUAGUUGUUGAUGGGAAAUGCACCGUCUAUUAGUCAGCUAAUUGUGAUACCCUGAAGUGAUAGAUUUGGAUGUUCUCAACAUCAA